rnacentral:rRNA from 1 species
AUUGAACGCUGGCGGCAUGCUUUACACAUGCAAGUCGAACGGUAACAGGGAGCUUGCUCCGCUGACGAGUGGCGAACGGGUGAGUAAUGCGUCGGAACGUGCCGAGUAGUGGGGGAUAACGCAUCGAAAGGUGUGCUAAUACCGCAUACGUACUGAGGUAGAAAGUGGGGGACCUUCGGGCCUCACGCUAUUCGAGCGGCCGACGUCUGAUUAGCUAGUUGGUGAGGUAAAGGCUCACCAAGGCGACGAUCAGUAGCGGGUCUGAGAGGAUGAUCCGCCACACUGGGACUGGGACACGGCCCAGACUCCUACGGGAGGCAGCAGUGGGGAAUUUUGGACAAUGGGCGCAAGCCUGAUCCAGCCAUGCCGCGUGUCUGAAGAAGGCCUUCGGGUUGUAAAGGACUUUUGUCCGGGAGCAAAUGCCUGGUGUUAAUAGCACUGGGAGCUGAGAGUACCGGAAGAAUAAGCACCGGCUAACUACGUGCCAGCCGCCGCCGUAUAC